rnacentral:rRNA from 1 species
GAUGAACGCUGGCGGCGUGCCUAAUACAUGCAAGUCGAGCGAACGGACGAGAAGCUUGCUUCUCUGAUGUUAGCGGCGGACGGGUGAGUAACACGUGGAUAACCUCCCUAUAAGACUGGGAUAACUUCGGGACACCGGAGCUAAUACCGGAUGAUAUUUUGAACCGCAUGGUUCAAAAGUGAAAGACGGUCUUGCUGUCACUUAUCGAUGGAUCCGCGCUGCAUUAGCUAGUUGGUAAGGUAACGGCUUACCAAGGCAACGAUGCAUAGCCGACCUGAGAGGAUGAUCGGCCACACUGGAACUGAGACACGGUCCAUACUCCUACGGGAGGCAGCAGUAGGGAAUCUUCCGCAAUGGGCGAAAGCCUGACGGAGCAACGCCGCGUGAGUGAUGAGGGUCUUCGGAUCGUAAAACUCUGUUAUUAGGGAAGAACAUAUGUGUAAGUAACUGUGCACAUCUUGACGGUACCUAAUCAGAAAGCCACGGCUAACUACGUG